UGGGGAAUAUUGCACAAUGGGCGCAAGCCUGAUGCAGCCAUGCCGCGUGUGUGAAGAAGGCCUUCGGGUUGUAAAGCACUUUCAGCGGGGAGGAAGGCGUUAAGGUUAAUAACCUUUGCUCAUUGACGUUACCCGCAGAAGAAGCACCGGCUAACUCCGUGCCAGCAGCCGCGGUAAUACGGAGGGUGCAAGCGUUAAUCGGAAUUACUGGGCGUAAAGCGCACGCAGGCGGUUUGUUAAGUCAGAUGUGAAAUCCUCGGGCUCAACCUGGGAACUGCAUCUGAUACUGGCAAGCUUGAGUCUCGUAGAGGGGGGUAGAAUUCCAGGUGUAGCGGUGAAAUGCGUAGAGAUCUGGAGGAAUACCGGUGGCGAAGGCGGCCCCCUGGACGAAGACUGACGCUCAGGUGCGAAAGCGUGGGGAGCAAACAGG
rnacentral:rRNA from 1 species